rnacentral:rRNA from 1 species
UUUAACUGAAGAGUUUGAUCAUGGCUCAGAUUGAACGCUGGCGGCAGGCUUAACACAUGCAAGUCGAGCGGGGGAAGGUAGCUUGCUACUGGACCUAGCGGCGGACGGGUGAGUAAUGCUUAGGAAUCUGCCUAUUAGUGGGGGACAACAUCUCGAAAGGGAUGCUAAUACCGCAUACGUCCUACGGG